rnacentral:rRNA from 1 species
GGACGAACGCUGGCGGCACGCCUAACACAUGCAAGUCGAACGGAGAUAUUUGAUUUAUUGAAUAUCUUAGUGGCGGACGGGUGAGUAACACGUGAGCAACCUGCCUCUGAGAGAGGGAUAGCUUCUGGAAACGGAUGGUAAUACCUCAUAACAUAAUUGAAUGGCAUCAUUUAAUUAUCAAAGAUUUAUCACUCAGAGAUGGGCUCGCGCCUGAUUAGCUAGUUGGUAAGGUAACGGCUUACCAAGGCGACGAUCAGUAGCCGGACUGAGAGGUUGAACGGCCACAUUGGGACUGAGACACGGCCCAGACUCCUACGGGAGGCAGCAGUGGGGAAUAUUGCACAAUGGGGGAAACCCUGAAUGCAGCGAUGCCGCGUGGAGGAAGAAGGUUUUCGGAUUGUAAACUCCUGUCUUCAGGGACGAUAAUGACGGUACCUGAGGAGGAAGCUCCGGCUAACUACGUGCCAGCCGCAGC